rnacentral:rRNA from 1 species
AUGGGCUUCGGCGGGCCGUGCAUGCUGCUGGCUUGUCUUCCAUGCUCCGUCAAUGGCAAACUGCUCCUGGGCUCGACCCGCAACACGAGGACGUCGGGGGCUCCGACCCUCGGCGUGGCGGUGGUGGCUACUUCCUUCGCCGGAGGUGGUCGGCCAGCUGGUUGUGGCAUCACACAUCCAGUCCCAGCGCCGAGUGGGAGAUGA